UCUUUCCAAGUUUUCUCCCCUCCCACCCCGGGGCCCCCGGUCUCUGUCUUGCUUUGUUGUUUUAAAAUAUGCAUGUCUCUCCGGAAUGCCAGUCACGGGUCCAAACUUUGUGUGUCCCAACCUCCCACAUGAUGAAAUGAUCCUUUUAAAGCGGGCUCAAUAUGUCUCAAUCUGCACUCCUCUUCUCUCUCUAAAGCUUCUGGGUACGGGACACAGCCCAGAAAUAUAUUAAUUAAAGCGCACUACAGACUUUUUUAGCAGUGCGAUAGAAGUGGUCGGAUCAAGUCAAGCUCUGUCAACGACGGAUGGAUGAAGAUUCACGGCAGGAAAAGGGGAAAAAAAAGAACGAUCAAUGCUACAGUGCUCUCUCGUUCACCCUGAACUGGCGGUGAACUCCUCCGGAACGCCGCCAGCUCUCUCCACCCUAUCCCAUCGCACUUUGGGGUCACCAGGGGGGCAUCUCUGUGCCAAUAUGCAGAUGAGUCUGUGCCCCUCCAAUGACUCUGGUGUUAAGCUCCACCCCUCUAUAUGGUGGAGGCUUUGAGUUGAAGUCCACUCCCCCCCAACAACACUCACGCACAUUGAGACAUAAACCCACCCUCCCACAUGCUUAAAUAAGCCUUUAACAGCUUACGUCCACUCUUCCUUUAAUAGCCAAGUGUGUCGAACCUAAUGGAUGUUGUCAAAGCUGAGUUGUGACCACUGAUUUAGAGGAGGAACCCCAAUGACCAGGCUUCACUAGCCACUAAAGACUUACGGGGAGAGAGAGAAUUACCUCAGCUAUGCCACAAAUCAAAGUAAUAUCUUUAAAAGAGGUGGGGAUCGAUGAGGUGUCAUCUGGCUAUAUGUGUGUAAAGUGAACCCAUAAACAGCCAAUAAACACUACUUUAUUCUCAAUUUUAGCCCCUGAAUGAAAAAGUUUUUAAACUGAUGAGCAUAUUUCUUUAAUGAGAAAUUGAUUUCAUGCAUUUUUAAAACAAGAUAUAAUAGAUGAAAACAUGCUUCCAUUUUAAUCUAUUUAAUUAUAACUUGUAUUUUGUAUUUAAUCGAUGAAACUUUGAAAAUAAAGUACCUUGUGUAUUUA